rfam:Dichanthelium oligosanthes cultivar Kellogg 1175 unplaced genomic scaffold Do_version_2_scaffold2772, whole genome shotgun sequence.
GUGAGAAUCACAGUGCAAUUCUCCUCUGGCAUGGAGGCUGGUGGAUCUAGCAGGAUCUGUCAGCAAUGCUACUGCCAUCUAUGCCAAAGGAGAAUUGCCCUGCCAUUCAGAA